rnacentral:tRNA from 1 species
GCGGGUGUGGCGCAGUGGUAGCGCAACUGCUUCCCAAGCAGUGAGUCGUGGGUUCGAAUCCCAUCACCCGCU